CGGCGGACGGGUGAGUAACACGUGGAUAACCUACCUAUAAGACUGGGAUAACUUCGGGAAACCGGAGCUAAUACCGGAUAAUAUAUUGAACCGCAUGGUUGAAUAGUGAAAGACGGUUUUGCUGUCACUUAUAGAUGGAUCCGCGCCGCAUUAGCUAGUUGGUAAGGUAACGGCUUACCAAGGCAACGAUGCGUAGCCGACCUGAGAGGGUGAUCGGCCACACUGGGACUGAGACACGGUCCAG
rnacentral:rRNA from 1 species